AUGAUUCAGUGCAAAGGGCCUCCGCUUCCCCAUGUUCGGCUGCGCCACUCAUCGGAGUGGCACCACCGGGAUAUGCUUCAGCCGGAAGGAAGAGUGCCCUCCGCUUCAUCAUGUCUGGCAGCCCGCUCAUCGGAUUACCAUGAGCCCAGGAUGUAUAUGAUUCAGUGCAAAGGGCCUCCGCUUCCCCAUGUUCGGCUGCGCCACUCAUCGGAGUGGCACCACCGGGAUAUGCUUCAGCCGGAAGGAAGAGUGCCCUCCGCUUCCGUGAAGCACGGAUCAAGGUUGUUUUUUGGGGCGGGGAACGACGGUGGCCUGCGAACCGAGCAAGACACCGGCUGUGUACGUUGGCGUCGCCUUGUCGGUGGCCUUCAUGGGAACCAAGCGGUGGCGGCCUCCCAUGUUCUACUACUCCUCGAUGAUGGCGGCGGGCACGGACGUGCGGGCCAUCGCCUCGUCGAUCUCCGUGAAGCCGACUUCUUUCUUCGCCGGCAGGACGCGGUUCCACGAAUGUUGACGGCGCGGUCGCAGGUACUGGAGGAGCGGUAUGACACGACGUCGUCCAUGAUAGUCACGAUGCCCAUGUCGUCGUGCUCCCUUGCUACAACUAAGAUUCAUGGACGUGCAACUUGUAGUUUUUUAUCUUGA
rnacentral:rRNA from 1 species